AGUGAACGCUGGCGGUAGGCCUAACACAUGCAAGUCGAACGGCAGCACAGUAAGAGCUUGCUCUUACGGGUGGCGAGUGGCGGACGGGUGAGGAAUACAUCGGAAUCUACUUUUUCGUGGGGGAUAACGUAGGGAAACUUACGCUAAUACCGCAUACGACCUACGGGUGAAAGCAGGGGAUCUUCGGACCUUGCGCGAUUGAAUGAGCCGAUGUCGGAUUAGCUAGUUGGCGGGGUAAAGGCCCACCAAGGAGCCGAUCCGUAGCUGGUCUGAGAGGAUGAUCAGCCACACUGGAACUGAGACACGGUCCAGACUCCUACGGGAGGCAGCAGUGGGGAAUAUUGGACAAUGGGCGCAAGCCUGAUCCAGACAUACCGCGUGGGUGAAGAAGGCCUUCGGGUUGUAAAGCCCUUUUGUUGGGAAAGAAAAGCAGCAGGUUAAUACCCCGCUGUUCUGACGGUACCCAAAGAAUAAGCACCGGCUAACUUCGUG
rnacentral:rRNA from 1 species